AGUCAAGAUGUCUUGUUUGCAGAGCUCUGCAUGUGCAUCUUUGGUGGACUUGUGUAUACCGAUCACAUUAAACCAAUCUGUGCAACAAACCUCAGAGAUUCUUCAAAAGGAGGUCGUUACAAGGGUGUUUGGCACAUUAUUGAUUUAUCAGAUUGUUUUAAAGAGCCUUCAUGCUUUACUUCAAAUCCUGAAGAUCAUUUAUUUCAGUUAAAGUUUCCAUGGAUGCCACCAGUAUUUUAUUUGGACUUCUCUGUAUUUCAUGUAUCAACUCAAAUGAAAUCUGCCUGGGGAGGAAGGAGUUGAAGUGUGAAAUAAAAGAUGUCACCACUGUCACCUGGUAUAGAUUACGACCUAAGGAGAGUCCCUUAACAAUAGUGACGCACAAUAUUAAAUCUAUUCUACCACCAAAAUACUUCAAUGGAUUCACCAGGGACAAAAUGAAUGUCUCCCAUGAUGAGUAUUUCUUUUUAAUUAUUGAACCCGUAACUGAAGAUGACUGUGGAACAUAUUAUUGUACAAAAACAGUGGAUCAGACAUUUGUGUUUGGAGUUGCACAACCUGUGACCUGCAAUGGCAUCAAGCAAAUACACCAUUUAAAGUGCAUCUUCAGAUUCUGAGAACCCUCCUCAAAUCCUUCUUCCCCAACCUGGCAGCUCUAAAAUCCACUGUGCUCUGCUAUUUCCAAGUUAGGAUAUGGAUUAUCUGUAAUGUAUAUGUUAUGCCCAUUUUUGAAAAAUUACUUUGUGUCACCAUGUUCAUAUGACUGUCAGUCAGUUUCUGCAUAUGGUAUAUUUAGUUCAGACAGAUAGUGAGGAGCCUUGAUGAGCUAGCUAAUCAAUUGGGAUAGAAACAAAAACCCAGCUCAAUCAAUUGAUAUACUCUAGCUCACACUUCUCUCUCAACAAGGUUAGGGUUAAUGUUUCUUACCGAAGCAGCAACAUCAUGUCUCUGGUGACUCUUCCUAUGAAGUCAGUAGAUGGAGGAUCAUGAGGUUGCUCAGUGUGUGAAAGGGGUGUGUGGCACUCCUGACAUCUCUGCAAAAACACGAAGGUCCAAGUCUUUAAGGUCCUGUGCUUCAAGUUUUGAUAAUACGGUUGUGAGACAUGGACGCUAUCCAGUGACCUGAGGCGAAGACUGGACUCCUUUAGUACUGUGUCUCUUCAUAGAAUCCUUGGGUACCGCUGGUUUGACUUUGUGUUGCUCACGGAGUCCUGAAUGAGGCACAUUACCUGCAUUGUGAGGGAGCAUCAGUUAAGGCACUACAGCCAUGUAGCGUGAUUCCUGGCUCACAGGACUCUCAUUAUUGAGGACUCAAGCAGCUGGACCAGGCCAAGGGGACAUCCACAUAACACCUGGCUGUGGCAGGUAGAUAGUCAUUCCUGGAGAGUGCGACUGGACUGCAUGUCUGCCUGGGGGGUUGCCUAGAAGGAUCCCAAGCUGUUUCAUUGUGUGGGGGGUGUGGCAACAUGCUGUACCAGUGCAUGCCCCCCAACCUGACCUGACUUGACCUGGCUCACACUUACUGUUCCCUUAUUGUCAAGUAGAGGCUGCCUACAUGCCAGUCAGCCCCCAUUUCAGCUCAGUAUCUCCAAGAGACCAAAAUUGCAAGUAAGUGUCAUUGUCAAGAGGGUCUUUGGUGAGCACUAAAGAUAGUAGGUAGGACUGUUUUCUGCAGUGACUUUCCUCUGGUUUUCCUAAUAGCUAGAAGUUAGUGGUACUGAUUCCUUUGGCUCUGCUAUUGUGUAGAGCCUUUAACAUUAGAAGGCCAGCUAAUCAUGAUGGAGAAAGACACACACAUUCUCUAGUAUCUGAAAAUGCCCUAUCUAGAAGCUAUCCAGAAAUAGGUAGGUCCUUUAAUCUCUUCAGGUCCAUAAAUAAAUGCCUGAUCAACAUUUUUCAAGGGUUUGCCUUAGGGUGUGAUAGAUAGAUAGAUAGAUAGAUAGAUAGAUAGAUAGAUAGAUAGAUAGAUAGAUAGAUAGAUAGAUAGAUAGAUAGAUAGAUAGAUAGAUAGAUAGAUAGAUAGAUAGAUAGUACUUAAAAAACAUUUUAAAAAACAUU